rnacentral:rRNA from 1 species
CGAACGGAGCUUAGAGAGCUUGCUUUUUAAGCUUAGUGGCGAACGGGUGAGUAACGCGUGAGUAACCUGCCCUAGAGUGGGGGACAACAGUUGGAAACGACUGCUAAUACCGCAUAAGCCCACGGUACCGCAUGGCACUGAGGGAAAAGGAUUUAUUCGCUUUAGGAUGGACUCGCGUCCAAUUAGCUAGUUGGUGAGGUAACGGCCCACCAAGGCGACGAUUGGUAGCCGGACUGAGAGGUUGAACGGCCACAUUGGGACUGAGACACGGCCCAGACUCCUACGGGAGGCAGCAGUGGGGGAUAUUGCACAAUGGGGGAAACCCUGAUGCAGCGACGCCGCGUGGAGGAAGAAGGUUUUCGGAUUGUAAACUCCUGUCGUUAGGGACGAUAAUGACGGUACCUAACAAGAAAGCACCGGCUAACUACGUGCCAGCAGCCGCGGUAAAACGUAGGGUGCAAGCGUUGUCCGGAAUUACUGGGUGUAAAGGGAGCGCAGGCGGGAAGACAAGUUGGAAGUGAAAACCAUGGGCUCAACCCAUGAAUUGCUUUCAAAACUGUUUUUCUUGAGUAGUGCAGAGGUAGAUGGAAUUCCCGGUGUAGCGGUGGAAUGCGUAGAUAUCGGGAGGAACACCAGUGGCGAAGGCGGUCUACUGGGCACCAACUGACGCUGAGGCUCGAAAGCAUGGGUAGCAA